GGGGAAUUUUCCGCAAUGGGCGAAAGCCUGACGGAGCGACGCCGCGUGGGUGAUGAAGUCUUUCGGGAUGUAAAGCCCUUUCAGCAGGGAAGAAGACAGUGACGGUACCUGCAGAAGAAGCAUCGGCUAACUACGUGCCAGCAGCCGCGGUAAGACGUAGGAUGCAAGCGUUGUCCGGAUUUAUUGGGCGUAAAGAGAACGUAGGUGGCAAUUUAAGUCUGAGGUGAAAGCCCACGGCUCAACCGUGGAUCCGCCUUGGAUACUGGGUAGCUUGAGGAGCGCAGAGGAAAGUGGAAUUCCCAGUGUAGCGGUGAAAUGCGUAGAUAUUGGGAGGAACACCAGUGGCGAAAGCGACUUUCUGGGCGUUUCCUGACGCUGAGGUUCGAAAGCCAGGGGAGCAAACGG
rnacentral:rRNA from 1 species